rnacentral:rRNA from 1 species
GACGUAGGGCGCGAGCGUUUGUCCGGAUUUAUUGGGCGUAAAGAGCUCGUAGGCGGCUUGUCGCGUCGUCUGUGAAAACCCGCGGCUCAACGGCGGGCUUGCAGUCGAUACGGGCAGGCUGGAGUUCGGUAGGGGAGACUGGAAUUCCUGGUGUAGCGGUGAAAUGCGCAGAUAUCAGGAGGAACACCGGUGGCGAAGGCGGCAUCCUGGACCGGCAUUGACGCUGAGGCGCGAAAGCUAGGGGAGCAAACGGG